rnacentral:rRNA from 1 species
CAUGCAAGUCGAACGGGAUUCGGGGUAGCAAUACUUUGAUGAGAGUGGCGCACGGGUGCGUAACGCGUAUGCAACCUACCUUUAACAGGGGAAUAGCCCCGAGAAAUCGGGAUUAAUACUCCGUAACAUUGCGGUGUGGCAUCACACUGCAAUUAAAGAUUUAUCGGUUAAAGAUGGGCAUGCGUCACAUUAGCUAGUUGGUAGGGUAACGGCCUACCAAGGCGACGAUCAGUAGGGGUUCUGAGAGGAUGAUCCCCCACACUGGUACUGAGACACGGACCAGACUCCUACGGGAGGCAGCAGUGAGGAAUAUUGGUCAAUGGGCGCAAGCCUGAACCAGCCAUCCCGCGUGCAGGAUGACGGCCCUAUGGGUUGUAAACUGCUUUUAUCUGGGAAGAAACCCCCGCUCGUGAUCGGGACUUGACGGUACCUGAAGAAUAAGCAUCGGCUAACUCCGUGCCAGCAGCCGCGGUAAUACGGAGGAUGCAAGCGUUAUCCGGAUUCAUUGGGUUUAAAGGGUGCGCAGGCGGAUUGGUAAGUCAGGGGUGAAAUCCCACAGCUCAACUGUGGAACUGCCUUUGAUACUGUCAGUCUAGAGUAUAGUUGAAGUUGGCGGAAUGUGUCAUGUAGCGGUGAAAUGCUUAGAUAUGACACAGAACACCGAUCGCGAAGGCAGCUAGCUAAGCUAUAACUGACGCUCAUGCACGAAAGCGUGGGGAUCAAACAGGAUUAGAUACCCUGGUAGUCCACGCCCUAAACGAUGAUUACUCGAUGUUGGCGAUACACAGUCAGCGUCUGAGCGAAAG